CAUAGAUUAACAAACUAGAUGGGCCAUGAGGACCCUGCAUUCUUCUGCCUACAGGAAACACACCUCAGAGAAAAAGACAGACACUACCUCAGAAUGAAAGGUUGGAAAACAACUUUCCAAACAAAUGGUCUGAAGAAGCAAGCUGGAGUAGCCAUUCUAAUAUCGAAUAAAAUCGAUUUUCAACCAAAAGAUAUCAAAAAAGAUAAGGAAGGACACUUCAUAUUCAUCAGAGGAAAAAUCGAACAAGAUGAACUCUCAAUCCUAAAUAUCUAUGCUCCAAAUACAUGGGCAACUACAUAUAUAAAAGAAAUUUUACUAAAGCACAAAGCACACAUUACACCUCACACAAUAAUAGUAGGAGAUUUCAACACCCCACUCUUAUCAAUGGACAGAUCACGGAAACUGAAAUAAAGCAGAGUCAUAGACAGCCUAAGAGAAGUCAUGAACGAAAUGGACUUAACAGAUAUUUACAGAACACUCUAUCCUAAAACAAUAGGAUAUGACUUCUUCUCACUACCUCAUGGUACUAUCUCCAAAAUUCACCAUAUUAUUGGUCAUAAAACAGGCCUCAAUAGAUACAGAAAGAUUGAAAUAAUCCCAUGCGUCCUAUCAGACCACCACUGGCUAAAACGGGUCUUCAACAACAAUAAGGGAAGAAUGCCCACAUAUACAUGGAAAUUUAACAAUGUUCUACU
rnacentral:lncRNA from 1 species